UUGAAUGGCCGCAGUAUCUUGACUGUGCUAAGGUAGCAUAAUCAUUAGUUUUUUAAUUGAAAGCUAGAAUGAAGGGUUGGAUGAAAAAAAAACUGUCUCUGUUUAAUUUUUAUAGAAUUUUAUUUUUAAGUUAAAAAGCUUAGAUAUUUUUAAAAGACGAGAAGACCCCGUAGAGUUUUAUAAAUUUAUAAGUUUAUUAAUUUAGUAUUUAUUUAAUUUAUUUAUUAUAUUUAUUUAAUUGGGGUGAUUAAAAAAAUUAUUGAACUUUUUUUGUAUAUUUAUAUUAAAUUAUAUUUAUUUGAUCCAGAUAUUUUGAUUAUAUGAUAAAAUUACCUUAGGGAUAACAGCGUAAUUUUAUUAGAGAGUU
rnacentral:rRNA from 1 species